rnacentral:ribozyme from 14 species
UUUUUUUUUUUUUUUUUUUUAUUUAUUAUGAAUUAAGUUAUAUUCAAGAAGCUGAGUGGGAAAAAAAUAAAGUAAACCAACAACUCUCAAAACUAAAAAACUUCUUCUGAUCACAAACAAAAACAUACUU